AGUGAACGUUGGCGGCGUGGAUUAGGCAUGCAAGUCGAGCGAUCGUAGCAAUACGGGAGCGGCAAACGGGGGUAGGAAUACAUCGGAACGUACCUUUUGGUUGAGAAUAGCGUUGGGAAACUGACGGUAAUACUCAAUAAAGUCGAGAGACCAAAGGUUUACUGCCGGAAGAGCGGCCGAUGCGAUAUUAGGUAGUUGGUGGGGUAAUGGCCUACCAAGCCUGAGAUGUCUAGGGGGUGUGAGAGCAUGGCCCCCACCACUGGGACUGAGAUACUGCCCAGACACCUACGGGUGGCUGCAGUCGAGGAUCUUCGUCAAUGGGCAAAAGCCUGAACGAGCGACGCCGCGUGCGGGAUGAAGGCCCUUGGGUUGUAAACCGCUGUCAGGGGGGAUGAAACCGUAAGGUUGACAGAGCCCCAGAGGAAGCACGGGCUAAGUUCGUGCCAGCAGCCGCGGUAAU
rnacentral:rRNA from 1 species